AUCCUUUUUUAAUCAUUGAGAAGCUUAAAAAAUAAUCGCUGCUGCAUUACAUUCUAUACUUCAUUAUGUUUAUUCUUGAUUUAUUUUUUGCUGUGCUUAUCGAAAGAAUCACGCUAAUUUUCGGACUUGUGCAAAUUUUAUUUUCUGGUUUCGUUUGCUUUCUAUCUCGAAGAAAUCAGCUCGCACUCUUCCAAAAAUCGUCAUUGUUGCUUGAAUUCAAUUAAUUGUGAUCGUCUAACAGUGCGAUAAGUGAAAACCACAAAAAAAAACAUGAACAUGACAAAAUUGCUCUGAACACUAUAUUUCGCAGUUUCAUAAUAAUCACCUGCCACCGCGAUUGUAUCCGCGAAGGUAUUGUAUCCAGCUCUCAUCCGGAACAACUUAAUCCUCCAAGGGAAUCCGCCGCGGAAAGCAUUACAAAGAUAUGAAUUGAUUGCUUAAAAUGGAAACGAGUUUUCUUUCUGGAGGAGUGCGUUCUGAACACCGUGAGCAAAUCGGCAAGGAUGUCGAUCGCGGAUCUUAUUCAAUGCGGGAACGGUCCGGAAAAAAAAAUCGAAAUAGCAAACGGCUAAGCCAAUCUGUUAAGAAUUCGGUGUGAGAUUUGAUUCAAUUGAAAAUAAAUGCUUUACUUGCUGUUUCACUUCCUCA